rnacentral:rRNA from 1 species
GAUGAACGCUGGCGGCGUGCUUAACACAUGCAAGUCGAACGGAAAGGCCCAAGCUUGCUUGGGUACUCGAGUGGCGAACGGGUGAGUAACACGUGGGUGAUCUGCCCUGCACUUCGGGAUAAGCCUGGGAAACUGGGUCUAAUACCGGAUAGGACCACAUUUUGGAUGGUGUGGUGGAAAGUUUUUCGGUGUGGGAUGAGCUCGCGGCCUAUCAGCUUGUUGGUGGGGUAAUGGCCUACCAAGGCGUCGACGGGUAGCCGGCCUGGGAGGGGGUACGGGCCCAAUGGGGAAGGGGAGACGGCCCAGGCCCCAAGGGGGGGGAGGGGGGGGGAAUAUGGCAAAAGGGGCCAAAGCCGGAGGGAGGGACGCCGGGGGGGGGAGGACGGCCUUCGGGUGUUAAACCCCUUUCGCUAGGGACGAAGCGAAAGGGAGGGGACCGGGGAAAGAAGCACCGGCAAACUAGGG